UACGUAGGGUGCGAGCGUUGUCCGGAAUUAUUGGGCGUAAAGGGCUCGUAGGCGGUUUGUCGCGUCGGGAGUGAAAACCCAGGGCUUAACCCUGGGCUGGCUUUCGAUACGGGCAGACUAGAGGUAUGCAGGGGAGACUGGAAUUCCUGGUGUAGGCGGUGGAAUGCGCAGAUAUCAGGAGGAACACCGGUGGCGAAGGCGGGUCUCUGGGC
rnacentral:rRNA from 1 species